GCCAAAAUGGUGUAGCAGUCUCAGUGUUGGACUGCGACUCUGGAGACCAGGGUUCAAAUCCCUGCUUGGCCA